UUUCACUUGACCUCGACCUCAUUUCAUGGAUCAGUGAACAAGGUUAAGUUUUUGUGGUCAAGUCCAUAUCUCAGAUACUAUAAGCAAUAGGUCUAGUAUAUUCGGUGUAUGGAAGGACUGUAAGGUGUACAUGUCCAACUGGCAGGUGUCAUCUGACCUUGACCUCAUUUUCAUGGUUCAGUGGUUAUAGUUAAGUUUUUGUGUUUUGGUCUGUUUUUCUCAUACUGUAUGCCAUAGGUCUACUAUAUUUGGUGUAUGGAAUGAUUGUAAGGUGUACAUGUCUAUCGGGCAGGUGUCAUCUGACCUUGACCUCAUUUUCAUGGUUCAGUGGUCAAAGUUAAGUUUUUGAGUUUUGGUCUUUUUUUCUAAUACUAUGUGCAAUAGUUCAACUAUAUUUGGUAUGUGCGUACCUUGCAAGGUCCUCAUGCCCGUCAGACAGUUUUCACUUGACCUCGACCUCAUUUCAUGGAUCAAUGAACAAGGUUAAGUUUUGGUGGUCAAGUCCAUAUCUCAGAUACUAUAAGCAAUAGGUCUAGUAUAUUCGGUGUAUGGAAGGACUGUAAGGUGUACAUGUCCAACUGGCAGGUGUCAUCUGACCUUGACCUCAUUUUCAUGGUUCAGUGGUUAUAGUUAAGUUUUUGUGUUUUGGUCUGUUUUUCUUAUACUAUAUGCAAUAGUUCAACUAUAUUUGGUGUAUGGAAAUAUUUUAUGAUCUAUUUGGCAGUCACGCAGGUUUUAUUUGACCUUGACCUCAUUUUCAAGGUUCAUUGCUCAGUGUUAAGUUUUUGUGUUUUGGUCUGUUUUUCUUAAACUAUAAGCAAUAGGUCAACUCUAUUUGUUGUAUGGAAGAAUUGUUAGCUGUACAUGCCUGCCUAGCAUGGUUCAUCUGACCUUGACCUCAUUUUCAUGGUUCAUUGGUCAAUGUUUAGUUUACUUGGUUAAUGUUAAGUUUAUGUGACAGUUGUAAUAAAGCUUUAUAUUUAGGACUAUCAACAUAAUAUCAAUGAUUAGUAAAGAAGGCGAGACAUUUCAGCGUGUGCACUCUUGUUUAUAA